GCCUUCGUAGAUCAGGGGUAGAUCAACCCCUUGCAAUAUACAGAAAUGCUUGGAUUAGGUGGACGGCGUGGGUUCGACUCCCACCGGGGGCG